CAACAUUUUCUGCUCUGCGCCUGAGGUAAUCCACAUCCUUAGCCUGCUGGAAACUAUUAAGCACAACCAAGACCAGCUGAUUGCGAAGGUGCUGUGAGUAAAAAUGUGUUGACAAGGUCAGCCACGGACGCUGAGGUCACCAAACACGCCAUCAGGUGGUUCAACUUGGCGGGGGAUCGGGCAACGAGGAGACGAGUCCCGCUUCCACCUCCUCAGGAGGAAUAGAGAUGUAUAUGUAUAAAUAAACAACCUUUUAUUGGACUUCUUGUCAUUCACCAGUUAUUCAUUUUCUGAUAUGUUAGCUGUGCAUGGAGCAGCGUUUCCUUGAAG